CCCCGGCCCCACCAGAGGGCAUCAGCUAUGCCUAGCAAUUACGCCCCCGUGGCUAAAUUAAACUCCCAUUGGCUAAAUUAGGCUCGAAGAGAGGGGCACCUGCUGCUAAGCUGUGUAUGUUGUCCCCUAGGACUCCCACCGUUUGCUGAGCUCCACAUGACAACAGCAGACGACAGGCCGCACUGAUCCCACCUGGCUUACAGGUGCUGUCACACAGGCUCCCUUGCUCCUUCAUUCAACCAUUGUUUACAUGUCGUUCAGGACUGCUGACUAAACACUUUCAAGCACAGUGGACCCUUGAACAACGCAGGUUCAAACUGUGCAGGUCCACCCACAGGGAUGUUUUUCAAUCAGAGUUAUACCAAGUGUCCCUGCCUCUCCUGCCUCCCUUCCCACUUCCUCCAUGUCUUCCUCUCUGCCACCCUGAGGCAGCAAGACCAGCCCCUCCUCCUCAGCCACUCAACAUGAAGACAACGAGGAUGAAGACUUCUAUGAUAAUCCACUUCCACUUAGUAAAUGCUUUCUCUUAUGAUAUUCUUAAUGACAUUUUAUUUUCCCAAGCUUAGUUUAUUGUAAGAAUACAGUAUAAAUACACAUACAAAGUACGUGUUAACU
rnacentral:lncRNA from 1 species